rnacentral:lncRNA from 1 species
CCCAUGUACAUGGCAUCAAGAAGAAAAAGAGGCCAUAUGUACCUUCUACUUCUCCAUCCUCAAGUUCUUCAGGAGAUUCUACCUCUAGAUUUUUUUCAAUAACGGUGGCUCGACGACUACGAGUGCAAAUUCAAGGAGAUCGACUGUCAACUUGUCCGACUCCAAGUGGAAGGUCGAAAGUCCUCCAACGACCUUGACUUCUAUACUAUCCAAUCUCUCUCUCAACAUAUCUUGAACGAGCCGAUUUUCUCUCGAUUCAAGAUGCUGCAGAUGGAGUCAUAUGACGACUCC